UAUGUGGCUCAGUCGGUAGAGCAUGAGGCUCUUAAUCUCAGGGUUGUGGGUUCUUGCCCCACACCGGGCAAAA